GUUGUAUGGUUAAGUGACUAAGCGUACACGGUGGAUGCCUUGGCAGUCAGAGGCGAUGAAGGACGUAUUAACUUGCGAUAAGCCCAGAGAAGGUAGUAAAAACCGGUGACUCUGGGA
rnacentral:rRNA from 1 species